rnacentral:rRNA from 1 species
AUUGAACGCUGGCGGCAGGCCUAACACAUGCAAGUCGAACGAGUGGCGGACGGGUGAGUAAUGUCUGGGAAACUGCCUGAUGGAGGGGGAUAACUACUGGAAACGGUAGCUAAUACCGCCUACCAUCAGCUUUGCCCCAAUGGGAUUGGCUUGUUGGUGGGGUAACGGCGCCCCAAGGCGAAGAUCCCUAGCUGGUCUGAGAGGAUGACCGGCCCCACUGGAACUGAUACACGGUCCAGACUCCUACGGGAGGCAGCAGUGGUGAAUAUGGCACAAUGGGCGCAAGCCUGAUGCAGCCAUGCCGCGUGUAUGAAGAAGGCCUUCGGGUUGUAAAGUACUUUCAGCGGGGAGGCGUUACCCGGAGAAGAAGCACCGGCUAACUCCGUGCCAGCAGCCGCGGUAAUAG